rnacentral:rRNA from 1 species
AGUCCUACGGGAGGCAGCAGUGGGGAAUAUUGCACAAUGGGGGAAACCCUGAUGCAGCGACGCCGCGUGAGUGAUGAAGUAUUUCGGUAUGUAAAGCUCUAUCAGCAGGGAAGAUAAUGACGGUACCUGACUAAGAAGCUCCGGCUAAAUACGUGCCAGCAGCCGCGGUAAUACGUAUGGAGCAAGCGUUAUCCGGAUUUACUGGGUGUAAAGGGAGCGUAGACGGCAGAGCAAGUCUGAAGUGAAAGCCCGCGGCCCAACUGCGGGACUGCUUUGGAAACUGCCCGGCUAGAGUGCUGGAGGGG